UAGAGGUCUCGCCUGCCCUGUGACCAUGAGUUUAACGGCCGCGGUAUUUUGACCGUGCAAAGGUAGCGCAAUCACUUGUCUUUUAAAUGAAGACCUGUAUGAAUGGCAUAACGAGGGCUUAACUGUCUCCCUUUUCCAGUCAAUGAAAUUGAUCUCCCCGUGCAGAAGCGGGGAUUAAAACAUAAGACGAGAAGACCCUAUGGAGCUUUAGACAAAGAGCAGACCAUGUUAAACACACCUAAAUAAAGGACAAAACCAAUUGGCCCCUGCCCUUAUGUCUUUGGUUGGGGCGACCGCGGGGAAACAAAAAACCCCCAUGUGGACUGAAGACAUUCCUCUUCACAACCAAGAGCCACAGCUCUAAGCAACAGAACAUCUGACCAACAAGAUCCGGCACUAAGCCGAUCAACGGACCGAGUUACCCUAGGGAUAACAGCGCAAUCUCCUUUUAGAGCCCCCAUCGACAAGGAGGUUUACGACCUCGAUGUUGGAUCAGGACAUCCUAAUGGUGCAGCCGCUAUUAAGGGUUCGUUUGUUCAACGAUUAA
rnacentral:rRNA from 1 species